rnacentral:rRNA from 1 species
AGUGAACGCUGGCGGUAGGCCUAACACAUGCAAGUCGAACGGCAGCACAGUAAGAGCUUGCUCUUACGGGUGGCGAGUGGCGGACGGGUGAGGAAUACAUCGGAAUCUACUUUUUCGUGGGGGAUAACGUAGGGAAACUUACGCUAAUACCGCAUACGACCUACGGGUGAAAGCAGGGGAUCUUCGGACCUUGCGCGAUUGAAUGAGCCGAUGUCGGAUUAGCUAGUUGGCGGGGUAAAGGCCCACCAAGGCGACGAUCCGUAGCUGGUCUGAGAGGAUGAUCAGCCACACGGGAACUGAGACACGGGCCAGACUCCUACGGGAGGCAGCAGUGGGGAAUAUUGGACAAUGGGCGCAAGCCUGAUCCAGCCAUACCGCGUGGGUGAAGAAGGCCUUCGGGUUGUAAAGCCCUUUUGUUGGGAAAGAAAAGCAGCAGGUUAAUACCCCGCUGUUCUGACGGUACCCGAAGAAUAAGCACCGGCUAACUUCGUG